UACAGAGAGCGCGAACGUUGUUCGGAAUCACUGGGCUUAAAGCGCACGUAGGCGGCAUGGUAAGUGUCGGGUGAAAUCCCACGGCUCACCCGUGGAACUGCCCGGCAGACUGCGAUGCUCGAGUGUGGUAGGGGAGAACGGAACUCCUGGUGGAGCGGUGAAAUGCGUAGAUAUCAGGAGGAACACCGGUGGCGAAGGCGGUUCUCUGGUCCACAACUGACGCUGAGGUGCGAAAGCUAGGGGAGCAAACGGG
rnacentral:rRNA from 1 species